UCUAAAAUUUUUAUUUAUUUAUUUAUUUUCUUCGACCUUAGAUAAUGUUCGAUUUUGAAAACGGGCUCGUAAGAGUAUUCGGGUCACUAAACACGGGAAUUGAGCUUGUGGGCCUUGGGCCCAAGCCCAAACCCACUAAUUAAACCCUAGGUAUUUAUGUCUAGUAAAACCCUAAAUGAGUUUUUGGUUGCAGCCGUUCAACUAAUUCUCUCCUGUGUUCUUUGUUUGCCUGCUACUACACCUUACCACCCAUAAAACAAAACACAGAGAAUUCAUCAUCUCCCCUCACUCUCAAUGAUACACACAAUACCUUACACAACCACAACCAUCUCGACACCUUCACAACAUCGCUCCAUAUCACCCUCGCACUCGUCGGAAGGAUCAGCCAUCAUCGGAGUUCAGUUGCAACCACCAUUAACGACACCGGCACCGCCCUAAGUUCACGACGGUAUCACGUCGGAACUCGUAUUGUUUCGGUAUACACUACUCAUUUCUGUCAGAUGUGGUUUAACGCAAGUAACGCUAACAGUGGAUAUGUUUUUGUUUCUUUUCUGGUUCAUGUUCGGCAUCUCUCACAAUCCAACCUUUCGCUAUUUCCCUCACUCUCUCGUUAACUUGAAGCCAACCGGAGUUUCUACGAAACUUUCGGACCAACGUUUCGGGUAAUCACUCUCAUUCGUUCUCUUGGAUUCCCGUUUACUCAUGCACCAUCGUUUGCCCAUAUAAGGUGACCGCGGUGUUCCAUCCUUUUAAACUCGUACACUCGUCGACACUUGGAUAAUCGGAAGACUUAGCAAUUAUGUUGGUGAUUGAUGACACUAUGAAAAUGGAUAGCGAAGAUGCCUAGAUACUCAUUUAGACGCCUUAAGUUUAAAUCAUUGUAUCAAUUUUGUUAUGAUAUGUUGUCACUUGAAUUUCCUUGUAUGUUUUAACAAUUUAUGAAAUGAAAUCGGUUGAAUUAAA